GGGAAAGUUAUUUCCAGUUCCAAAAAAGCGUGUGUAUCAUGUGAAAUUAUGAUAGAUGCCUUAUAAAGCUCUUCAAUAUUCUCUCCUAUUUCGGUGUGGGAUUCGCGUUAGGUGUCGCCUAGGGUGUAACACACACCUCAUCUUCGUCAAUCCGCCCUCACUCUAAUAUCAUAUUUGUCAUAGCUCAUGGCAUCCGCUUUGGGUCUAGA
rnacentral:lncRNA from 1 species